AUUAACAUAGAUUGGAAAAAAUUAAGGUCUGUUCUAUAGGCUCGUACCUCUGUUUCCUUGAUUUCUAAGGAGACAGGCCCUUAACCCUGGUUGAUGAACCAUGACCGUGCGAUCAGAGC
rnacentral:snoRNA from 1 species